rnacentral:rRNA from 1 species
UACGGGGGGGGCAAGCGUUGUUCGGAAUUACUGGGCGUAAAGGGUGCGUAGGCGGUCCGCUAAGUUGGAUGUGAAAACUCUGGGCUUAACCCAGAGCCUGCAUUCAAAACUGACGGGCUAGAGUUCUGGAGGGGGUAGCGGAAUUCCUGGUGUAGCGGUGAAAUGCGUAGAUAUCAGGAGGAACACCGGCGGCGAAGGCGGGUCUCUGGGCCGUAACUGACGCUGAGGAGCGAAAGCGUGGGGAGCGAACAGG